rnacentral:rRNA from 1 species
UACGUAGGGGGCUAGCGUUGUCCGGAAUCAUUGGGCGUAAAGAGCGUGUAGGCGGCCCGGUAAGUCCGCUGUAAAAGUCAAAGGCUCAACCUUUGAAUGUCAGUGGAUACUGCCGGGCUAGAGUCCGGAAGAGGCGAGUGGAACUCCUGGUGUAGCGGUGGAAUGCGCAGAUAUCAGGAAGAACACCAACGGCGAAGGCAGCUCGCUGGGACGUCACUGACGCUAAGACGCGAAAGCGUGGGGAGCAAACAGG